UUGAACGCUGGCGGCAGGCCUAACACAUGCAAGUCGAACGGUAACAGGAAGCAGCUUGCUGCUUUGCUGACGAGUGGCGGACGGGUGAGUAAUGUCUGGGAAACUGCCCGAUGGAGGGGGAUAACUACUGGAAACGGUAGCUAAUACCGCAUAACGUCGCAAGACCAAAGAGGGGGACCUUAGGGCCUCUUGCCAUCGGAUGUGCCCAGAUGGGAUUAGCUAGUAGGUGGGGUAACGGCUCACCUAGGCGACGAUCCCUAGCUGGUCUGAGAGGAUGACCAGCCACACUGGAACUGAGACACGGUCCAGACUCCUACGGGAGGCAGCAGUGGGGAAUAUUGCACAAUGGGCGCAAGCCUGAUGCAGCCAUGCCGCGUGUAUGAAGAAGGCCUUCGGGUUGUAAAGUACUUUCAGCGGGGAGGAAGGGAGUAAAGUUAAUACCUUUGCUCAUUGACGUUACCCGCAGAAGAAGCACCGGCUAACUCCGUGCCAGCAGCCGCGGUAAUACGGAGGGUGCAAGCGUUAAUCGGAAUUACUGGGCGUAAAGCGCACGCAGGCGGUUUGUUAAGUCAGAUGUGAAAUCCCCGGGCUCAACCUGGGAACUGCAUCUGAUACUGGCAAGCUUGAGUCUCGUAGAGGGGGGUAGAAUUCCAGGUGUAGCGGUGAAAUGCGUAGAGAUCUGGAGGAAUACCGGUGGCGAAGGCGGCCCCCUGGACGAAGACUGACGCUCAGGUGCGAAAGCGUGGGGAGCAAACAGGAUUAGAUACCCUGGUAGUCCACGCCGUAAACGAUGUCGACUUGGAGGUUGUGCCCUUGAGGCGUGGCUUCCGGAGCUAACGCGUUAAGUCGACCGCCUGGGGAGUACGGCCGCAAGGUUAAAACUCAAAUGAAUUGACGGGGGCCCGCACAAGCGGUGGAGCAUGUGGUUUAAUUCGAUGCAACGCGAAGAACCUUACCUGGUCUUGACAUCCACGGAAGUUUUCAGAGAUGAGAAUGUGCCUUCGGGAACCGUGAGACAGGUGCUGCAUGGCUGUCGUCAGCUCGUGUUGUGAAAUGUUGGGUUAAGUCCCGCAACGAGCGCAACCCUUAUCCUUUGUUGCCAGCGGUCCGGCCGGGAACUCAAAGGAGACUGCCAGUGAUAAACUGGAGGAAGGUGGGGAUGACGUCAAGUCAUCAUGGCCCUUACGACCAGGGCUACACACGUGCUACAAUGGCGCAUACAAAGAGAAGCGAUCUCGCGAGAGCAAGCGGACCUCAUAAAGUGCGUCGUAGUCCGGAUUGGAGUCUGCAACUCGACUCCAUGAAGUCGGAAUCGCUAGUAAUCGUGGAUCAGAAUGCCACGGUGAAUACGUUCCCGGGCCUUGUACACACCGCCCGUCACACCAUGGGAGUGGGUUGCAAAAGAAGUAGGUAGCUUAACCUUCGGGAGGGCGCUUACCACUUUGUGAUUCAUGACUGGGGUG
rnacentral:rRNA from 1 species